AGAACGAACGUUGGCGGCGUGGAUUAGGCAUGCAAGUCGAACGAAUCCCAUCCUUGUAGCAAUACCGGGGUGGGGGAAGUGGCGAAAGGGGCAGUAAUGCAUGGGUAACCUACCUUGGGGAUGGGCAUAGCCGUUCUAACGAACGGGUAAUACCCAGCGAUUUGACGGGAGGGCAUCCUUCUGUCAGGAAAUGAGUUUCGCCUCGAGAGGGGCCCAUGUCGUAUUAGCUAGUUGGUGGGGUAACGGCCUACCAAGGCAAAGAUGCGUAGCGGGUGUGAGAGCACGACCCGCGCCACUGGCACUGAGACACUGGCCAGACACCUACGGGUGGCUGCAGUCGAGGAUCUUCGUCAAUGGGCGCAAGCCUGAACGAGCGACGCCGCGUGCACGAUGAAGGCCUUCGGGUUGUAAAGUGCGAAAGGUGGGAGAAAGCCGCAAGGUUGAUCGAUCCACAGUAAGGACGGGCUAAGUUCGUGCCAGCAGCCGCGGU
rnacentral:rRNA from 1 species